rnacentral:rRNA from 1 species
UUAAGUUAUUAAGGGCGCACGGUGGAUGCCUUGGCACUAGAAGCCGAUGAAGGACGUUACUAACGACGAUAUGCUUUGGGGAGCUGUAAGUAAGCUUUGAUCCAGAGAUUUCCGAAUGGGGAAACCCAGCAUGAGUUAUGUCAUGUUAUCGAUAUGUGAAUACAUAGCAUAUCAGAAGGCACACCCGGAGAACUGAAACAUCUUAGUACCCGGAGGAAGAGAAAGAAAAUUCGAUUCCCUUAGUAGCGGCGAGCGAAACGGGAAGAGCCCAAACCGACAAGCUUGCUUGUUGGGGUUGUAGGACACUCUAUACGGAGUUACAAAGGACGACAUUAGACGAAUCAUCUGGAAAGAUGAAUCAAAGAAGGUAAUAAUCCUGUAGUCGAAAAUGUUGUCUCUCUUGAGUGGAUCCUGAGUACGACGGAGCACGUGAAAUUCCGUCGGAAUCUGGGAGGACCAUCUCCUAAGGCUAAAUACUCUCUAGUGACCGAUAGUGAACCAGUACCGUGAGGGAAAGGUGAAAAGCACCCCGGAAGGGGAGUGAAAUAGAACCUGAAACCGUGUGCUUACAAGUAGUCAGAGCCCGUUAAUGGGUGAUGGCGUGCCUUUUGUAGAAUGAACCGGCGAGUUACGAUUUGAUGCAAGGUUAAGCAGUAAAUGUGGAGCCGUAGCGAAAGCGAGUCUGAAUAGGGCGUUUAGUAUUUGGUCGUAGACCCGAAACCAGGUGAUCUACCCUUGGUCAGGUUGAAGUUCAGGUAACACUGAAUGGAGGACCGAACCGACUUACGUUGAAAAGUGAGCGGAUGAACUGAGGGUAGCGGAGAAAUUCCAAUCGAACCUGGAGAUAGCUGGUUCUCUCCGAAAUAGCUUUAGGGCUAGCCUCAAGUGAUGAUUAUUGGAGGUAGAGCACUGUUUGGACGAGGGGCCCCUCUCGGGUUACCGAAUUCAGACAAACUCCGAAUGCCAAUUAAUUUAACUUGGGAGUCAGAACAUGGGUGAUAAGGUCCGUGUUCGAAAGGGAAACAGCCCAGACCACCAGCUAAGGUCCCAAAAUAUAUGUUAAGUGGAAAAGGAUGUGGCGUUGCCCAGACAACUAGGAUGUUGGCUUAGAAGCAGCCAUCAUUUAAAGAGUGCGUAAUAGCUCACUAGUCGAGUGACACUGCGCCGAAAAUGUACCGGGGCUAAACAUAUUACCGAAGCUGUGGAUUGUCCUUUGGACAAUGGUAGGAGAGCGUUCUAAGGGCGUUGAAGCAUGAUCGUAAGGACAUGUGGAGCGCUUAGAAGUGAGAAUGCCGGUGUGAGUAGCGAAAGACGGGUGAGAAUCCCGUCCACCGAUUGACUAAGGUUUCCAGAGGAAGGCUCGUCCGCUCUGGGUUAGUCGGGUCCUAAGCUGAGGCCGACAGGCGUAGGCGAUGGAUAACAGGUUGAUAUUCCUGUACCACCUAUAAUCGUUUUAAUCGAUGGGGGGACGCAGUAGGAUAGGCGAAGCGUGCGAUUGGAUUGCACGUCUAAGCAGUAAGGCUGAGUAUUAGGCAAAUCCGGUACUCAUUAAGGCUGAGCUGUGAUGGGGAGAAGACAUUGUGUCUUCGAGUCGUUGAUUUCACACUGCCGAGAAAAGCCUCUAGAUAGAAAAUAGGUGCCCGUACCGCAAACCGACACAGGUAGUCAAGAUGAGAAUUCUAAGGUGAGCGAGCGAACUCUCGUUAAGGAACUCGGCAAAAUGACCCCGUAACUUCGGGAGAAGGGGUGCUCUUUAGGGUUAACGCCCAGAAGAGCCGCAGUGAAUAGGCCCAAGCGACUGUUUAUCAAAAACACAGGUCUCUGCUAAACCGUAAGGUGAUGUAUAGGGGCUGACGCCUGCCCGGUGCUGGAAGGUUAAGAGGAGUGGUUAGCUUCUGCGAAGCUACGAAUCGAAGCCCCAGUAAACGGCGGCCGUAACUAUAACGGUCCUAAGGUAGCGAAAUUCCUUGUCGGGUAAGUUCCGACCCGCACGAAAGGCGUAACGAUUUGGGCACUGUCUCAACGAGAGACUCGGUGAAAUCAUAGUACCUGUGAAGAUGCAGGUUACCCGCGACAGGACGGAAAGACCCCGUGGAGCUUUACUGUAGCCUGAUAUUGAAAUUCGGCACAGCUUGUACAGGAUAGGUAGGAGCCUUUGAAACGUGAGCGCUAGCUUACGUGGAGGCGCUGGUGGGAUACUACCCUAGCUGUGUUGGCUUUCUAACCCGCACCACUUAUCGUGGUGGGAGACAGUGUCAGGCGGGCAGUUUGACUGGGGCGGUCGCCUCCUAAAAGGUAACGGAGGCGCUCAAAGGUUCCCUCAGAAUGGUUGGAAAUCAUUCAUAGAGUGUAAAGGCAUAAGGGAGCUUGACUGCGAGACCUACAAGUCGAGCAGGGUCGAAAGACGGACUUAGUGAUCCGGUGGUUCCGCAUGGAAGGGCCAUCGCUCAACGGAUAAAAGCUACCCCGGGGAUAACAGGCUUAUCUCCCCCAAGAGUUCACAUCGACGGGGAGGUUUGGCACCUCGAUGUCGGCUCAUCGCAUCCUGGGGCUGUAGUCGGUCCCAAGGGUUGGGCUGUUCGCCCAUUAAAGCGGUACGCGAGCUGGGUUCAGAACGUCGUGAGACAGUUCGGUCCCUAUCCGUCGUGGGCGUAGGAAAUUUGAGAGGAGCUGUCCUUAGUACGAGAGGACCGGGAUGGACAUACCUCUGGUGUACCAGUUGUCGUGCCAACGGCAUAGCUGGGUAGCUAUGUGUGGACGGGAUAAGUGCUGAAAGCAUCUAAGCAUGAAGCCCCCCUCAAGAUGAGAUUUCCCAACUUCGGUUAUAAGAUCCCUCAAAGAUGAUGAGGUUAAUAGGUUCGAGGUGGAAGCAUGGUGACAUGUGGAGCUGACGAAUACUAAUCGAUCGAAGACUUAAUCAA